rnacentral:lncRNA from 1 species
AAGUGGGCUGUCCUCUUCCCACUUACUAUUUCCAAAAUUAACACACCGAAGCUAAACACAUCUGACUUGAUUGAGCAAACCCCCUCAAAUGCAUACUCCGGAGCACCAUGGCUAUGGAAACCUGGAUGGUGGAGCAAGGCUGAUUGGUUUGAAUACUUGAAUGGUCAAGAGAAUGCAAAAUUCUUUAUGAAUGGAACCGUGCAGGGUAACGUACUUUUCUUGAGCACAUCCAGCAGUAGCAUCUUGGUAUCAGUGAAGAACUGUGUAUCCGUUUCAUACCUCAGUGUGCACCACACCCCAAGAAUGGCCGCUCCCAUCUGGGUAGUGCUAAUCUUGCUCUGCCUGCCUGAGAUGAUACCAUCCAGGCAGUUCAUGCAUUGCUCCGAUGGCAUGCCCUGCAUGCACUGCACUAGCCCAUACACCGUCUGUCCUGUCUCCUCAAACCUCUGUUUGCCUACUGCAUACCUCUCUGGUCGACUCACUGCAGCAUCAGUAAGUGCACGCAGCACCUUGGUGACAAGAUCCUCAAAUUGCUUAGCCACAGAAGCUGUCACAGCAUUCAGUGCACUCCGGCACAUUUGUGAAGCUGGAGAUAAAAUCCUGGUUGGAGAAGUGUAUCCUGGCCUGGUCUUGGUUGUAAUAGUAGGUCACCUUCUUGGUCAUGGUCUUGGGAGAAACUGGGUGUCCGUCUCGUACCGCAGCGAGCACCUCACGCCAUGGAUCGCGCCGCCCAUCGUGCCGCCGCCGAUCUUCCGCCGCCUCUCGGCGACGACGCCGUCGAGGCAACUCCGGCAGCGCUCCGGCGGCAUGUCCCGCGUGCACUGCGCCAGCCCGUACACCGUCCGGACAGUCCGGUCCCUCUCCCGGGACGGCCACGGCGCAUCGCCCGCCGCGUACCUCUCCGGUCGCCUCGCCGCCGCGUCGGCGAGCGAGCCGAGGAGCUCGCCGACGACCUCCUCGAACCGCUCGGCGUCGGCGGCCGGCGCGGUGUUCAGGUUGGUGACGUCGACCCACUCCGGCGAGUUGCUGAAGGCGGAGAGGAAGUCAUGGUCGGAGAAGCGGAGGUGGUACAGCUCGUCGUAG